rnacentral:rRNA from 1 species
GAUGAACGCUGGCGGCGCGCCUAAUACAUGCAAGUCGAGCGAGCAGACGAGGAGCUUGCUCCUCUGACGUUAGCGGCGGACGGGUGAGUAACACGUGGAUAACCUACCUAUAAGACUGGGAUAACUUCGGGAAACCGGAGCUAAUACCGGAUAAUAUAUUGAACCGCAUGGUUCAAUAGUGAAAGACGGUUUUGCUGUCACUUAUAGAUGGAUCCGCGCCGCAUUAGCUAGUUGGUAAGGUAACGGCUUACCAAGGCAACGAUGCGUAGCCGACCUGAGAGGGUGAUCGGCCACACUGGAACUGAGACACGGUCCAGACUCCUACGGGAGGCAGCAGUAGGGAAUCUUCCGCAAUGGGCGAAAGCCUGACGGAGCAACGCCGCGUGAGUGAUGAAGGUCUUCGGAUCGUAAAACUCUGUUAUUAGGGAAGAACAAAUGUGUAAGUAACUAUGCACGUCUUGACGGUACCUAAUCAGAAAGCCACGGCUAACUACGUG